rnacentral:misc_RNA from 1 species
GUCCCCAUGUCGAUGAGCCGGAGCUAGUGUCAGCGCUGCUCGAAGGACGUCUGGGUGGGGCUGGGCUCGAUGUGUUUGAACAGGAGCCACAUGUGCCCGAGCAGCUGUUCGGGCUGGACAAUGUAGUUUUGCUUCCUCAUGUUGGAAGCGGCACAGUGGAGACUCGUACGGCGAUGGCCGAUCUCGUUCUGGCCAACUUGGAGGCACAUGUCGCCAGUA